rnacentral:rRNA from 1 species
AUUGAACGCUGGCGGCAUGCCUUACACAUGCAAGUCGAACGGCAGCACGGGUGCUUGCACCUGGUGGCGAGUGGCGAACGGGUGAGUAAUACAUCGGAACGUACCUUAUCGUGGGGGAUAACGCAGCGAAAGCUGUGCUAAUACCGCAUACGCCCUGAGGGGGAAAGCGGGGGAUCGCAAGACCUCGCGCGAUUAGAGCGGCCGAUGCCUGAUUAGCUUGUUGGUGGGGUAAAAGCCCACCAAGGCGACGAUCAGUAGCUGGUCUGAGAGGACGAUAAGCCACACUGGGACGGUGGCACGGCCCAGACUCCUCCUGUAGGCAGCAGUGGGGAAUUUUGGACAAGGGGGGCAACCCUGAUCCAGGAAUGCCGCGUGAGUGAAGAAGGCCUUCGGGUUGUAAAGCUCUUUUGUCAGGGAAGAAACACCGGCUCUAACACAGUCCGGGAAUGACGGUACCUGAAGAAUAAGCACCGGCUAACUACGUGCCAGCCGCCGCCGUAA